rnacentral:rRNA from 1 species
GAUGAACGCUGGCGGCGUGCCUAAUACAUGCAAGUCGAGCGAACGGACGAGAAGCUUGCUUCUCUGAUGUUAGCGGCGGACGGGUGAGUAACACGUGGAUAACCUACCUAUAAGACUGGGAUAACUUCGGGAAACCGGAGCUAAUACCGGAUAAUAUUUUGAACCGCAUGGUUCAAAAGUGAAAGACGGUCUUGCUGUCACUUAUAGAUGGAUCCGCGCUGCAUUAGCUAGUUGGUAAGGUAACGGCUUACCAAGGCAACGAUGCAUAGCCGACCUGAGAGGGUGAUCGGCCACACUGGAACUGAGACACGGUCCAGACUCCUACGGGAGGCAGCAGUAGGGAAUCUUCCGCAAUGGGCGAAAGCCUGACGGAGCAACGCCGCGUGAGUGAUGAAGGUCUUCGGAUCGUAAAACUCUGUUAUUAGGGAAGAACAUAUGUGUAAGUAACUGUGCACAUCUUGACGGUACCUAAUCAGAAAGCCACGGCUAACUACGUGCCAGCAGCCGCGGUAAUACGUAGGUGGCAAGCGUUAUCCGGAAUUAUUGGGCGUAAAGCGCGCGUAGGCGGUUUUUUAAGUCUGAUGUGAAAGCCCACGGCUCAACCGUGGAGGGUCAUUGGAAACUGGAAAACUUGAGUGCAGAAGAGGAAAGUGGAAUUCCAUGUGUAGCAGUGAAAUGCGCAGAGAUAUGGAGGAACACCAGUGGCGAAGGCGACUUUCUGGUCUGUAACUGACGCUGAUGUGCGAAAGCGUGGGGAUCAAACAGGAUUAGAUACCCUGGUAGUCCACGCCGUAAACGAUGAGUGCUAAGUGUUAGGGGGUUUCCGCCCCUUAGUGCUGCAGCUAACGCAUUAAGCACUCCGCCUGAGGAGUACGACCGCAAGGUUGAAACUCAAAGGAAUUGACGGGGACCCGCACAAGCGGUGGAGCAUGUGGUUUAAUUCGAAGCAACGCGAAGAACCUUACCAAAUCUUGACAUCCUUUGACAACUCUAGAGAUAGAGCCUUCCCCUUCGGGGGACAAAGUGACAGGUGGUGCAUGGUUGUCGUCAGCUCGUGUCGUGAGAUGUUGGGUUAAGUCCCGCAACGAGCGCAACCCUUAAGCUUAGUUGCCAUCAUUAAGUUGGGCACUCUAAGUUGACUGCCGGUGACAAACCGGAGGAAGGUGGGGAUGACGUCAAAUCAUCAUGCCCCUUAUGAUUUGGGCUACACACGUGCUACAAUGGACAAUACAAAGGGCAGCGAAACCGCGAGGUCAAGCAAAUCCCAUAAAGUUGUUCUCAGUUCGGAUUGUAGUCUGCAACUCGACUACAUGAAGCUGGAAUCGCUAGUAAUCGUAGAUCAGCAUGCUACGGUUAAUACGUUCCCGGGUCU